rfam:Pteropus alecto contig163655, whole genome shotgun sequence.
AAUGGAUCCGGGUGAGGAUGUGUAUGUGUAGGAGAAGAUUCCAGAAUCUUUAGAGAUAAUUCAGAUGAAAUCCAGUGAGGACAGGUACUUCUGGAGAAGCAGAGAAAAUGGAAAG